rnacentral:rRNA from 1 species
GCAAGUCGAGCGGAAACGACAACAUGGAAUCUUCGGAGGAUUUGUUGGGCGUCGAGCGGCGGAAGGGUGAAGAAUCCCUAGGAAAUUGCGGUGCUGUGAGGGAUAACCAUUGGAAACGAUGGCUAAUACCGAAGAGUGCAUACGGGCCAAAGGGGGGGAUCUUCGGACCUCUCGCGUUAAGAUGUGCCUAGGUGGGAUUAGCUAGUUGGUGAGGUAAUGGCUCACCAAGGCGACGAUCCCUAGCUGGUCUGAGAGGAUGAUC